rnacentral:rRNA from 1 species
UACGAAGGGUGCAAGCGUUGUUCGGAUUUACUGGGCGUAAAGCGUCCGUAGGUGGUUUGUUAAGUCAGGGGUGAAAUCCCGGGGCCCAACCCCGGGCCUGCAUUGGAAACUGGCGGGCUGGAGUGUCGGAGGGGCAGGCGGAAUUCCUAGUGUAGCGGUGAAAUGCGUAGAUAUUAGGAGGAACACCGGUGGCGAAGGCGGCCUGCUGGACGAUGACUGACGCUGAGGCUCGAAAGCGUGGGGAGCAAACAGG